rnacentral:rRNA from 1 species
CCUACGGGGGUCGUAGUGAGGAAGAGUGGUCAAGGGACGAAAGUCGGAACCAGCCAAGUAGAGUGAAGGAGGACGGCCCUCCGGGUUGUAAACUGCUUUUAGUUGGGAAUAAAAGGGGGCUCGUGAGCCCCGUAUUGUAUGUACCAUCAGAAAAAGGACCGGCUAAUUCCGUGCCAGCAGCCGCGGUAAUACGGAAGGUCCGGGCGUUAUCCGGAUUUAUUGGGUUUAAAGGGAGCGUAGGCCGGCUUUUAAGUCAGCUGUGAAAGUCCGCGGCUCAACCGUGGAAUUGCAGUUGAAACUGGAGGCGUUGAGUGCACACAGGGAUGCCGGAAUUCAUGGUGUAGCGGUGAAAUGCUUAGAUAUCAUGAAGAACUCCGAUCGCGAAGGCAAGUGUCCGGGGUGCAACUGACGCUGAGGCUCGAAAGUGCGGGUAUCAAACAGGAUUAGAUACCCCAGUAGUC